rnacentral:misc_RNA from 1 species
AACGCACAUUGCGCCCGCCAGCAUUCUGGCGGGCAUGCCUGUUCGAGCGUCAUUUCAACCCUCAGGCCCUGCCUGGCGUUGGAGGACUGCGCACCGCAGCCUCCCAAAGCAAGCGGCGGCGGCGCCCCAAGACCGAACGCAGUAGUUUUCUCUCGUUCUGGGCCUGGGACGUCGUCCUGCCGGAAAACCCCCAACUUUUACAUGGUUGACCUCGAAUCAGGUAGGAAUACCCGCUGAACUUAA